UAACUUCGGUGUGAGUAGAGUGGCGGACGGGUGAGUAACGCGUGGGAAUCUACCCAGUAGUGGGGGACAACUACCGGAAACGGUAGCUAAUACCGCAUACGCCCUAUGGGGGAAAGGCUUCGGCCGCUAUUGGAUGAGCCCGCGUCAGAUUAGCUAGUUGGUAGGGUAAAGGCCUACCAAGGCAACGAUCUGUAGCUGGUCUGAGAGGACGAACAGUCACACUGGGACUGAGACACGGCCCAGACUCCUACGGGAGGCAGCAGUGGGGAAUAUUGGACAAUGGGCGAAAGCCUGAUCCAGCAAUGCCGCGUGUGUGAAGAAGGCCUGCGGGUUGUAAAGCACUUUCAGUUGGGAAGAUGAUGACGUUACCAACAGAAGAAGCACCGGCUAAAUCCGUGCCAGCAGCCGCGGUAAUACGGAUGGUGCGAGCGUUAAUCGGAAUUACUGGGCGUAAAGCGCGCGUAUGCGGCUAAGUCAGUCAGAAGUGAAAGCCCCGGGCUCAACCUGGGAAUUGCUUUUGAUACUGCUUAGCUAGAGUUUGGUAGAGGAUAGUGGAAUUCCAGGUGUAGCGGUGAAAUGCGUAGAUAUCUGGAGGAACAUCAGUGGCGAAGGCGACUGUCUGGACCAAAACUGACGCUGAGGUGCGAAAGCGUGGGUAGCAAACAGGAUUAGAUACCCUGGUAG
rnacentral:rRNA from 1 species